rnacentral:rRNA from 1 species
UAGAGUUUGAUCCUGGCUCAGGACGAACGCUGGCGGCGUGCCUAAUACAUGCAAGUUGAGCGCUGAAGGUUGGUACUUGUACCGACUGGAUGAGCAGCGAACGGGUGAGUAACGCGUGGGGAAUCUGCCUUUGAGCGGGGGACAACAUUUGGAAACGAAUGCUAAUACCGCAUAAAAACUUUAAACACAAGUUUUAAGUUUGAAAGAUGCAAUUGCAUCACUCAAAGAUGAUCCCGCGUUGUAUUAGCUAGUUGGUGAGGUAAAGGCUCACCAAGGCGAUGAUACAUAGCCGACCUGAGAGGGUGAUCGGCCACAUUGGGACUGAGACACGGCCCAAACUCCUACGGGAGGCAGCAGUAGGGAAUCUUUGGCAAUGGACGAAAGUCUGACCGAGCAACGCCGCGUGAGUGAAGAAGGUUUUCGGAUCGUAAAACUCUGUUGGUAGAGAAGAACGUUGGUGAGAGUGGAAAGCUCAUCAAGUGACGGUAACUACCCAGAAAGGGACGGCUAACUACGUGCCAGCAGCCGCGGUAAUACGUAGGUCCCGAGCGUUGUCCGGAUUUAUUGGGCGUAAAGCGAGCGCAGGUGGUUUAUUAAGUCUGGUGUAAAAGGCAGUGGCUCAACCAUUGUAUGCAUUGGAAACUGGUAGACUUGAGUGCAGGAGAGGAGAGUGGAAUUCCAUGUGUAGCGGUGAAAUGCGUAGAUAUAUGGAGGGACACCGGUGGCGAAAGCGGCUCUCUGGCCUGUAACUGACACUGAGGCUCGAAAGCGUGGGGAGCAAACAGGAUUAGAUACCCUGGUAGUCCACGCCGUAAACGAUGAGUGCUAGAUGUAGGGAGCUAUAAGUUCUCUGUAUCGCAGCUAACGCAAUAAGCACUCCGCCUGGGGAGUACGACCGCAAGGUUGAAACUCAAAGGAAUUGACGGGGGCCCGCACAAGCGGUGGAGCAUGUGGUUUAAUUCGAAG